GGUGCCAUGUCUUAGUUUUUUUAAGGACUUGUCUAGUAAAUGGGAGUGUCUGGGUUCAAAUCCCAGUGGUGCCU
rnacentral:tRNA from 1 species